GAUGAACGCUGGCGGCGUGCCUAAUACAUGCAAGUCGAGCGAACAGAUGAGGAGCUUGCUCCUCUGACGUUAGCGGCGGACGGGUGAGUAACACGUGGAUAACCUACCUAUAAGACUGGGAUAACUUCGGGAAACCGGAGCUAAUACCGGAUAAUAUAUUGAACCGCAUGGUUCAAUAGUGAAAGACGGUUUUGCUGUCACUUAUAGAUGGAUCCGCGCCGCAUUAGCUAGUUUGUAAGGUAACGGCUUACCAAGGCAACGAUGCGUAGCCGACCUGAGAGGGUGAUCGGCCACACUGGAACUGAGACACGGUCCAGACUCCUACGGGAGGCAGCAAUAGGGAAUCUUCCGCAAUGGGCGAAAGCCUGACGGAGCAACGCCGCGUGAGUGAUGAAGGUCUUCGGAUCGUAAAACUCUGUUAUUAGGGAAGAACAAAUGUGUAAGUAACUAUGCACGUCUUGACGGUACCUAAUCAGAAAGCCACGGCUAACUACGUG
rnacentral:rRNA from 1 species